ACUAGUGAAGUUUAUGUGUUUAUUGAUAGUACAAUUUCUUCUCUCUGGGAGGACUUAUUAUGGCAUAAUUGAAAUAGAAAUAUAGUAGCACUUUGAUGUUCUAGCAUCGCUGAUUAUCACCAGGUGCUACACCAAAUUUACUACAAUACGAGUUGUAAAGACUAACACGCGAGUUGACAGCAUCCGGGCUUCCACCGUUGCACUCAAUGCUGUUGAUGGCACGGAUGGUUGCCCCGAAACCUUGGGUAGUGACAGACUGAACUUUGACCUUCCAGUACCACAAGGCCGUCCUGAAGGACACCACGGCAUCUGAAGCCACGAUGUCGGGAUUGUUUAGCCCAUCAAACUCAUUACUCUUUCCGGCAUCAAUGUAGUUAUAGUUCCAUGUUAGCUGAAGAGGGCCGCGGCCAAAAUACUUCACAUUUGCGUUGCAUGGGUACCCUGCCUUUGAUUCGCAGUAAUUCUUGUCGCGACCAUUUGUCUCUUCUUUAUGACAGAAGUCUGCGCUCAAAUUCAGUUGUGUUAGAACAUUUUUUGAUGAGCAACAAAUCAUUAAAUUAAAAGUUGAAACUAAGAAUUAUAGAUUUAAUUACUCAAAAAUAUUAACAGGCCGUUUGAACAAACUUAAAAAAACUGAUUUCUUACUUAAAGUAAAUAAGUGGAUUAGAAUUGAAAAAUAAAAAAAUUAAUAAAGAGUUUGGAAAAUAAGUAGAAGCUCCGAGAGAAAAGUUAGCAUUCUCAACUUCAUAAAAGUGCUUCUACUUAUUUACACAAACAGAUCAAGAAAAGCAGAAGAUAGAAAUAUCUGUAAAGGACAGAAUUCAUACAUCCGGUCUCAUGGGUAGCAUGGGCGAAAAAGGCUGCAAUCUCACGCUUAGAAUCAUCAGCAGAACCAGAAGUUCCGAACGAGGAGUAGGAUUGAAGUGCAUUAAGAAACGCUGAUCUGGUGUAAAAGUUCUUUCCGUCGCAAUCUCCUGUGGCUUGACUAAUGAUUCCAUUAAAGAAAUCGUCGGUGACAAUAUCAGCAACCGAAACACCAUUACCGCCUCCAGUUGGUGCAGUAUUUGUGCAGGGACCAGCUUGGCAUCCCUCGCCACAAUAAUCGGAGGUAGUGCCACAGUAACCGUGCUUGCUGCAGCAGAGGCCUGCAGCACAGUUGCAGUUCUGGGCAGAAACUAGUGGGGCGGCAAUCAAGAUAGCGGUUAGGAAAAUGAGAAAUGUUUUCAUUUUGUUGUUUGUAGCAGAGGAUGAUGGAAAAUUAGGUUGGCGAUGAAGGGUUUUAUAGGCCAAGGCAUCAACUAGGUUCUGAAAAUUGGAGGCGAGAGUUUGAAAAUUGUGCUGGUAUAAUUUGACUUGGCAAUAGGGAGGACUCCUACCUAUUUGCGAUUUCUUUUACCGAAUGAAAUGUAUCAAACUACAUGCAUCAUGUUGUCUCAUUCAAUCUUGUCCUUUCUUAACUCGAAUAACAACCUACAUGAUAUUUUUCAAAAUAUUCUUAACUCUUAAGUAAAAAAGAUGAGGAAAAGUUAAAUGGAUCCAGAUAUCCGAUCCGUGAUCCGUGCUUCUAAUAAAUCCGGAUAUGGAUCGGUCUAGAAAAAACCCAAUCUCGAUCUAAUUCGAAUCCAAAUCUGAUAAAAUAAAUGUAUAUAAAUAUGAAUUUAGGCUGAUCGGAUCCGGACCCAAUCCAUCGACAAACCUAAGUAGGCAGAAGUAUAUGUUUUGGCAUGGCUAAACUAAAAGUCAAGUUGCAUAACAUGUACGUAAUAACUUUGACUGGGUGGACUGCUGCCACCGCUGCCAGUCUACCAUAUUCCGUGGAUAUUACGGAGCAGGAAAAACACAAUUCAUACGGACGUUUGAUUCAGCCAUAUGACUUAUGUGAUUUUUGAUUUAAUGUCAUUUAGGAGAUAGGUUGGCAGUUUAAAAUAUUUGUUUUGAUAAAUUUGACAUAUUAAUGACUAACACGUGAUUAAAAAUAUAAUAAUAAAUAUAAAAAUGAUUUAUAUGUAUAUUAUGUCUUAUGCAUAAUUUUUAUUAAAAAAUUAAUUCACUGAAAAAAAUAUAUCAAACUAACUUCUUGCUCAUUUCUGAUUUUAAGUCAGAAUCGGACUUAUAAUAACACAAAUAUACAUUUUUUAGUUUGAGUUAAAAAUAGUUUUAAACCCACACUUUAAGCAGGGACAAACAGAUUCUCGUACAAUACCUGUAUGAUUAUUUUGUAAAAUUGUAAAAUGUCCAUCACAACUCGUGUAUUGAACGGAGAUAAUAAUAUUCCUCGAGAAAAUCUCAGUAUAAAAUAUCAAUCUCAAUUUUCAGAUAAAAUGAUAUAUUUAGUUAUAUAUAUAUAUAUUUAAAUGCUUCAUGACGAGAACAAAAUUACUUAUAAGUUUUUUAUUGAAAAAAUGAGACUCUCUUUUAGAUACUCUGAAAUGGUAUAUUUAUCCAAUUUCUCGUAGACAUCUCGAUUAAUUAAUAAUUAAUUAACUAGUAACUCGUGAUCAAUUAAUAUUUGAACAAAAAAGUUUGAACUUCCAACAUGUUAGGGACAACACGUAUUCAAUCUCGAUUAACUUAUAAUUGCGAUAAAUUAAUAUAAUUUAGUGGUUUCAGCAUUAUUUAUUCAAUGAGAGGGGCCGUUUUGUUGAGCUUAAAGUAAAAAAAUAAGUAGAACUUAGAAACAAAUUAAGACUUAUAAGUGAUUACAGUGUUUGGCAAAGAAGUAGAAGUCAUGAAACAAAAGAGUUAGCAUUUUUAGCUUUUUAUAAGUAUUUUUUGACUUUUUACACAAACUGAUAUAUUAUAAUCCGGAUCGGGAGUAUUAGCAAGGUGCGGGGUUCAGAUAACAUCUUAGCCCGGAGAAUUCUCCCCACAAAAAGGAAGAAUAGACCACAAUCACAGGACGUCAAUCCGGGUCAAUACAUAUUGAGGAGUACGAUCCCAGAACCCGACUCGGUCUCAAAACAUCUAAGGGAGUCCCGCUCUUUGAUAGGUCACAGGUGACAUGGACAUAACAUGAACGAUCAACUGCUGUCAAGAGAUGACAAGUUCCUAACGUUCCAAACUACCGUCCAUCGCUGAUAGAUGGACACGUGUAGGGAAUUCGAGACAUGCAGAUGUAUGGCUAAGAUUCAGGUUUCCUACCCUUAAACCCUAAUCCUUGGCCUAUAAAUAGACCAAAGAUAAGAGGUUUAAGGGUCUCUUCUCUCCACACUCAUAUUUAACACACACAUAUGCACUCAGCAAAAUAUAUACACUUAAGCAACCACAUAUAACAACAAUCAUACACACACCCCCUACAUUGAUAGAUAGCUUAUUUUUAGUCCGUCUACUUUCGAGUCCGCUCUUACUCUCACGUCGGAGGCGUCGCGAGGCUCAAACCCCCUCCGAUGUUGUUUUGUAGGCUCCCAUCCAGUAGCUACACCGCAAGACGAUGACUGAGCACGGUAGAUAAAGAGCUGGAACGGAAUCUGAAGUUAUCAUUUGGCGCUAGAAGCUAGGAGGGGUGGUGUAUUCUCCGUCUUGUGGUCACGGUGCUACUGGACUCAUCUUCAUCAACAAAUUCCCGACAAGGGAGUCCUGUUUCAUCUCUGUGAGCUUCAACAAACUCCAACCUUCAAAAAACCAUCUCAACCAUGGCUAUUUCGUUGUGUGCACGUUAGCAAACUCAACCCGUAAGAAAUACAAAAUUUGUCUCUAGUACAUUAAACACUUUGUCUGGUAGCAUCUCAUAGUUUCCCAAAGUCUGCGGAAGGAUGAAGGCCCAGUUAGAACAUCUGCAUCCAGGAACCUGGCGAAACUUAAAGAUAUGUAUGGAGAUCUAAGUACAAGAAAGGAGGAUGCUGAAAACAUAAACCCUCCUAAAAAAAUUAAUGGUUCGGAGGAGGUCAUUAGACUUGGUGGUUCUACUUUGAAGUAGUGGCAGGAGGUGACCAAUAUUAAUGCUUGCUUCAAGAGAUGGUAAUUCCAGAUCCCGUUCCGGUACUUCCUCCGUCGUGUACUGGUGUAUUGCGGUGUUGUUGCUGGAUGGGAGCCUACAAAACAACACCCGAGGGGGGUUUGAGCCCCGCAGCGCCUUCGGCGUGAGGAUGAGUACAGACGUCGGAAUAGAUAGACGGAAAAUAAGCUAUCUAUGUGUGGUGGGUGAAGGUGUAUGGCUGUUGUGUAUGGUGGCUUGGAGUGUGUGAGAAAUAUGAGAGUGUGGAGAAGAAGAUCCUUAAGCCUCUCAUCCUUGGUCUAUUUAUAGAACAAGGAUUAUAGUUUAAGGAUGUGUAGCUUGGAUCCUGUCGUCCAUCUGUAGGGCUUGGAUGCUUGACACCUGUCCAGGUGUCAUUUAAGGAAUAAUAUUUUGGAGCGUUCUGAGGUUUGUCUUCAUAGUGUCAGUAGCUGACCAUUGUGUGACUUGGAUCCCGGUUCAUAUCCAGACUAAGUUUUGGAAAGAUUGGUGCCCACCAACCUGGGUUGAUUGCCUCUCCAGGGUCAUGGAAUUCUCUCCGGGUUGGGUGCGCCUCCGGGAUUGCGUCCUUGCAUUAUUAGUCCCUCGAACCGUGGUUGGAGUUGGUCUUGCUUCCGGUUCUUGGCGGGACUGAGGUAACCCAAUCCGGAUUGGGAUACCUGUCAGGACAUGGUUGAACUACCCUCACCAGUCCGGAUUGGUGCUUCUGUUAUGAUCAUGUUUAAAAGUGGUUGGACUAUUCUCCGUUGAGACGAAUUCUUCCCGGAAUUGUGCUGAGUCCGGACCAGACUUGGCCUAGGUUUUCGAGAAUACGGUCGGGUUGGAUUAUAUACUAUCAUUUGCCCCCAAUCCCUUAUACAGAUUUUCUAUGUGAGGGAGUAGUGAAUAAUGCGAAUCUUGCCUCCAAUCUGGACGGGAACGGAGUAGGAGUAAAGAUUUGCCUCGACUCUUUAAUCCGGACUGAUCUGGACUGAAAGUAGUAAGUUUCUGUUGCGCCAUGAUCUGGGUUGAUAUGGACUAGGGGUGAAUCUUUGAUUUUUGCCCCCCAAUCCGGGUUGAUCCGGACAAGAGGUGAGAUUUUGCUUUUUGCCCCCAGUCCGGGUUGAUCCAGGCAAUAGGAGGUUUUCGCUCUCGUCAUCUGAUCUGGGUCGCUACAGAUGGUUUCUAAGUAAUAUAGUAUGAAUGAGUCCGGGAGAGAUUGCUUGACAUGAUUCCGGACGGGACUGCCUGAUAUGAGUCUGGACGGGAUUGCUUUACAGAUAUUUGCCUUAGAAAAUUUUUCUAAGUAAUAGAGUGUGUAUGAGUCCGGACGAGAUUGCUUGCCAUGAGUCCGGACGGGAUUGCUUGACAUGAGUCCUGACGAGAUUGCUUGACAUGAGUCCGGACGGGAUUGCUUUACAAAUAUUUGUCUUAUAAAAUUUUUCUAAGUAAGAGAUAGCUCAUAAUUGGACCCGGGUUGCAUUUGCUUUUUUGCCUUAGAAAAUUUUUUCCAAUUAAGAAGUAGCUCAUAAUUGAACCGGGGUUGCUUUUGCUUUUUUGCCUUAGAAAUUUUUUUCCAAGUAAGAGAUAGCUCAAAAUUGAACCGGGGUAGCUUUUUUUUUUUUUUUUUUUGCCUUAGAAAAGUUUUUACAAAUAAGAGAUAGAUCAUAACUGGACCAGGGUAGCUCUUGCUUUUUUGCCUUGGAAAAUAUUUCGAAGUAAGAAAUAGCUCAUAAUUGGACCCGGGGUUGCUUUUUCUUUUGCUUUUGCUUUUGCUUUUUUGCCUUAGAACAUUUUUUCCAAGUAAGAAGUAGCUCAUAAUUGAACCGGGGUUGCUUUUGCUUUUUUGCCUUAAAUUCAAAGUUAGAAAUAGCUCAUCAUUGGACCCGGGGUUGCUUUUGCUUUUUCUUUUUUCCCUUAUAAAUUUUUUUCCAAGUAAGAAGUAGCUCAUAAUUGAACCGGGGUUGUUUUUGCUUUUUUGCCAUAGAAAAUUUUUUCCAAGUAAGAGAUAGCUCAAAAGUGAAGCGGGGUAGCUUUUGCUUUUUUGCCUUAAAAUAAUUUUUCCAAGUAAGAGAUAGGUUAUAACUGGACCGGGGUAGCUUUUGCUUUUUUGCCUUAUAAAAUUUUUCUAAGUAAGAGAUAGCUCAUAACUGGACCCGGGAUUGCUUUUGUUUUUUUUCCCUUAAAUUUUUUUUCCAAUCAAGAAGUAACUCAUAGUUGAACCGGGGUCGCUUUUGCUUUUUUGCCUUAAAUUUUUUUUUCCCCAAUUGAGAGAUAGGUCAUAACUGGACCGGGGUAGCUUUUGCUUUUUUGCCUUAGAAAUUUUUUCUAAGUAAGAGAUAGCUAAUAAUUGGACUCGGGGUUGCUUUUGCUUUUUUCCGUUAGAAAUUUUUUUCCAAGUAAGGAGUAACUCAUAAUUGAACUGGGGUUGCUUUUGCUUCUUUGCCUUAGAAAAUUUUUUCCAAGUGAGAGAGUGGUCAUAACUGGACCGGGGUAGCUUUUGUUUUUUUGGCAUAAAAAAAAUUUUCUAAGUAAUAAAUAGGUCAUAACCAGACCGAGGUAGCUUUUGCUUUUUUGCCUUCAAAAAUUUUUCUAAGUAAGAGAUAGCUAAUAAUUAGACUCGGGGUUGCUUUUGCUUUUUUGCCUUGGAAAAUUUUUCUAGGUAAGAGAUAGCUCAUAAUUGGACCGGGGUAGCUUUUGCUUUUUUGCCUUAGGAAUUUUUUUUUAAGUAAGAGAUGGCUAAUAAUUGGACCCGGGUAGCUUUUGAUUUUUUGCUUUGGAAUUUUUUUUCCUCAAGUAUGAUUGCUUAGUCCGGACUCAUUUGAGCCAGGACUUAUGGUUGCUUAGAAAAAGUAUUUUCUAGUGCCUACUCUGGACUCAUUAUUGAAUCAGGACUAGUAUGGUUGCUUAGUCCGGACUCGUCUAAGUCAGGGCUGGUAUUUUCUAAUGCCUAGUCCGAACUCAUCUAAGUCAGGACUAGUGUGGUUCCUUCGGUCCCGUACCUGGAGUCCCUACUAACUUUUGUUUUUAGCAGCUCAUGGAUCAUGUCUCUUAGACUGGUCUGAUCCUCAUUAUUUUCAUCGUCUGAGAUCAGCUCUAGGGUUGGCUCAUUCCUGGACCGCUUGGAGCGGGACUUGCUCAUAAGCCUUUUUUUCUUCUAGCCGGAUCCUUCUUUGAAUUUUCUGCUCUAGCUUUUCUUCUUCUUCCCUUCGGAUCUAUUCUUUCUUUUCGGCCAGGAUCUUUUGCCUUGCGGCAUCACUUUCUCUCUGCUUCUUUUUCUUGACUUUGUCACCAAUCCGGUCAAAGACGAAACCUCGGGAUUGGAGUCUUGCCCGAGUCCUCAGAGUUGGCGACAUGUUCAGCUUCCUUGCGAGUAUCAGCUUGGCGUUCAUGAUACUGCCGGAUUGCCUCGGCUAUUUCCUUGCUGGUGAGAUUUGCCAUGUGGUCGGCCGUUCCCGGGACAUCUGUGUACUUGAACUUGUUCGUCUCGAUAACAACCCGGGCAUCAUCCGGAUUAACCUGGGUCAGGAUUUGCUCGGAGUUCAGGUCCUGGAGUGGAUUCGCUUGGUCAGGACCUAACCCAUGUUGCUGGGAGCUGGUGGUAACCUUGGUUGAUCGGGUCUUUCCCCCUCUCACUAUAGUUCCGUAGAUGGUUUUGACUAGAAAACAAAACAAGACCAGGACAAGGCUCCUACUACAAGUUUUUAUGGAUGCUUUUUUCGAGAGGUAUAUAUGCACUAAAAAUGGCAAAGGGAUGACUAAGGGAGUGGAGACAGACAGUCAACUUACUAUGACCAGAAAUGCAAAAAAUGGCUAAGUGACAAGAUGUGUAAGGAACUACUAGACAGAGUGUUUAAUGAGCUUGGGACAAAUAUUUUGGUUUCUUGAGAUCGGGAUUUGCUAACGUGCACACCAACAAGAAAAUCAUGGCUGAGAUGGUUUUGAGAGAUUUGAGUGUUUUGAAGCUUACAGAAAUGAAUCAGGACUCCCUUUUCAAGAGCUUCCUGAAGAAGACGAGUCUAGUGGCAUUGUGACCACAGGACGGAGAAUACGCCAUCCCCUCCUUCUAGCGCCAAAUGAUAACUCCAGAUCCCGUUUCGGUACUUCCUCUGCCGUGUACUGGUGUCUUGCGGUGUUGCUGUCGGAUGGGAGCCUACAAAACAACACCGGAGGGGGGUUUGAGCCCCGCGGCGCCUCCGGCGUGAGAAUGAGUACAGGCGUCGGAAUAGAUGGACGGAAAAUAAGCUAUCUAUGUGUGGUGGGUGAAGGUGUAUGGCUGCUAUGUAUGGUGGCUUGGAGUGUGUGAGAAAUAUGAGAGUGUGGAGAAGAAGAUCCUUAAGCCUCUCAUCCUUGGUCUAUUUAUAGACCAAGGAUUAGGGUUUAAGGAUGUGUACCUUGGAUCCUGUCGUCCAUCUGUAGGGCUUGGAUGCUUGACACCUGUCUAGGUGUCAGCUAAAGAAUAGUAUUUUGGAGUGUUCUGAGGUUUGUCUUCAUAGUGUCAGUAGCUAACCAUUGUGUGACUUGGAUCCCGGUUCAUAUCCAGACUAAGUUCUGGCAAGACUGGUGUCCACCGACCCGGGUUGAUUGCCUCUCCAGGGUCAUGGAAUUCUCUCCGAGUUGGGUGUGCCUCCGGGAUUGCGUCCUUGCAUUAUUAGUCCCUCGAACCGGGGUUGGAGUUGGUCUUGCUUCCGGUUCUUGGCGGGAUUGAGGUAACCCAAUCCGGAUUGGGAUACUUGCCAGGACAUGGUUGAACUAUUCUCCAGUCUGGAUUGGUGUUUCUGUUAUGAUCAUGUUCUGAAAUGGUUGGACUAUUCUCCGUUGGGACGAAUUCUUUCCGGGGUUGUGCUGAGUCCAAACCAAACUUGGCCUAGGACUUCGAGAAUACGAUCGAGUUGGUUUAUAUACUAUCAGGAGACAAGUUAUAUUGAUAAAUGUGUGCGCUGCAUUUGCUGUUCUGAGCAAUUACCAUGUAUAUAUAUUAGAUGUCAGUUAAUACAUUACUGUAUCGGUACUUCACUCCAUGUAACAGAUUAGUUUUGUUGAUUUGUUUCUAAAAAACUUUGUAUUAAAAUAAUGCUGGUAAAAUUGUUUUGAUUUUGAUACUUUUUAAAUUCAUAAACAUGCUUGUGAGUUGUUUCAAGCAAAUAUUUUUUUUCUUCUUUUCCUCGUGUGCUUUUUUACUUUUCGAGACUCGUAUGGCCUUUAAAUUUCUCCCAACACAUUCGACUAUUUCCCUAAAAUUUCCUAGAAAUUUUCAAAACUUCUCAAUAACUUUCCUAUAAUUUACUAAAUUUUUAAGCAAAAAUCAGCAAUUUUGGCUUUAAAAUCAGUUUUUGGUUUUACAGUUUUACCCGCCCAAACAACUCUCAGUCAGAGGGACUUCUGCGCCCUUUUCUUGGCUGUUUUGGUCUAUGUAAUGCAGAGGUGUUAUAAUAAUAAUUGGAAUGAAUAAAUAUUGCACGAAUGUCCGGCUCAAAGUGAAAAAAAAAGAAGCUUUUCUUAAUAUUACUUAUUACAUUUUUAUUAGACAAUCAAAAACAUUCACGUGAUCCAAGAGAUAGUGUAAGAACUCAUCUGAUAAGUUUCUCUCCAAAAUUCUCCACUGAUCAUUAAUUGCCUUUUUCCAAGCAUGAAUAGGCUACAAAGAGAAUAUUACAAAAAAAAAGAAGGCUAAAGUUAGGGCAACAAAUACUUGUAAUCCUGUGGUCCAAGAACUCGUAUAAUAAAAACAUGUAAAGUAACUUGAUAUCCUCGAAAACCCAGACUAUCAUAGUAAUGAUUCAAGAAAUCAUCAACUAUGUCAGAUUUUUUAAAGAUCUGAUAAUUUUGCAUAACAAUAUGUUGCCUCUUUACUCAAAACAAAGAGGUCCCCCAUAAACUUCAGUUUGUAAAUAUAUACAUGUCUAUAGUAUGUGAAUCAGUUUUGUUAUGACUUGCUAACGAUGCCUAACAUAACAUAUUGUUAUGGACCUAUAUUUAUGUUGCAUAUUUUUAUAAAAUGAUAACUUUAGCAAGUCAUAACAAAAUUGAUUUACGUGGAACAUAUUUUGCUAUAUUUUUAUGUUUAUAUUAUAAUAAUUUUGCAUAACAAUAUGUGGCCUCUUUAAAGCCUGAAUAUGUUUGCAUUUUCAGACGUUUGCUCGGGCAUUCGAGUUCCUUGUUCAGGCUUGAGUCAUUGUUUGGGCAUUUGCUUGGUGCUAGGACAAAAACGAUUAUAGGUUUUUGAUUUCACCAUAAAAUUUGGAAAGCUUUCUUUUUUACAUCAUGCGCUUGAUUAUUCAAUAAAAGUCUUAACUUCAAGAACCAAUUUCUUUUUGAUCAAAUUUUGCUUUGGAAACCAGAAUUUACUUUUAUAAACUGAAUUCUUUGGUAAAUUCCUAUUCAGGUGAUUUUGCUCUAAACUCUUUGAUUUUAGAAAUUUCGGAUAUUAAUUAAUACCCUUAGCUCUUCUCGGGAGCUCAAAAAACCUUUGACUUCUCCGAGGAUCUUUGAUGUUCUUUAGCGUUGGAGGCACUCUUGGCUUCACCAUGACGUUCCUUGGCGUCCGAGGCACUCUUAACGUCACCCUGCCAUUCCUUGGCUCUCAAGGCAGCUUGGCAUCAUCUUGGUGUUCCUUGACACCCGAGGCUGUUUGAGGGAGCGUGAAGCUUCCUCGGCUCUUCUCAAGGAUCCUUGCCCCGGUUCUCUAGACGGAUCUAAUUUCUCACGAAAAUAUCUUUUCACAGAAUAUUUCGGUAAUUUUAAUACUCACACCUAACAUAUUUCUUACUGUAGCUAUUUACUCAUCCUUACUCUGAGCUUGAUCAAUUAUUUUAUCACUUUUUGUAUCCAUACCUUAUAUGCAUGUCUUUCUUGAAAUUAUCCAGCUAUUUUCACCUUUUCCUUGCCUAUAAAAGAUUAAAGGGUGAAAUCUUUGAACCGCACACCUCCGGUUGCAAACUUCUCCAAAUUUUCCUCUAGUUAGUUCUCUAGGUUUUUUUUUUCCAUCUAGUUUUAGGAAGAAUCUCUCAAGAUCGUCAAGUAUAUUCAAGCUUGUUCUUGAGACAUUCAAGCAUUCGGGGUGGAAGUGUUGUUCGAUCUUCAAAUAGGUUGUGUUCUUUUUUCAUGUUGAAGUUAUUAGCCGAUACCAAAAUUAGCCCGUGUCAGAGCAUCUCCAACGGCGUUGGCUAUAAUCGUUGGCUAAAUUAGACCUGUAAGAUAUUAUGUAAAAUUUGCUGAACCUGUAAGACAUUUUGCUUCAAUGGUAAUGGCUAUAUUGGUUGGCUAUAAUUUAAAAAUAGUAUGUUAUUAAUAUUUUAAAUUGUUAAAAUAGAAUAUAUCAGUUCAAUAUGGUAAUAAAUUAUGUACAAUCUUCCUACAGAUUUUCUUACAGACCUGUAGAGGUUCGACAAAUUUAGCCAUCCAUAGGAGGUUGGCUAAAUUUAUAGACAACAGGUGAGCAUGGUUGGAGUUGAAUUUUUGGAGCUGUUGGCUAAAUUUUCUUAAUUUAAGUAAGCCAACUCACCUUUUAGACAAGGGUUUUAGAUGGUUGGAGAUGCUCUCAGCUUGUUCCUAACAUUCCCAUAUCUGGGAAAGGGUGGAUUACAUCUGACAUCAAAGAUCUUUAACCAGUUGUCCUUUGAACACUCCAUGCAUGAUCGGAAAAAGUCGAUUUUCAAACUCAGAUGGAAGGGCGAAAAUCGGGGUUUGUAUUCUAGGGACCAUUUCUCACCUAUAAUUCUGUAAUUAUACCAACUAAAAAUCUGUAAUCGAACAAAUCCUUUCCUGCAAAUUUCGAUUUUGACUGUGACGAAAAGGAACCACCUGGACACCUUGUUGUUUUAUAAUGUGUAUUACCUGUAAAAAAAAGUAAGGAUUUUCUAAAGGGUUCGGGUAUGUCAGGACCAGUUACAUAACCUACAGCUUUUUGGUCAAAUGAAUAUCCAGUAUCUAGCGGCCUAGAUUGCCUGGGUUAUGAUCUACGUUCAGCGUUUAAAAUACGUUGUACGAGACCUUACGACGCUUUUUAACCAUUGUGCGGAGUUACAUUAUGUAACCUCAUACAGCGGUUAAAAAGCGCUGUAUGUAUUAAAAUUUGUUAUAAUCCUGGUCGCUGGAUAUUCAUCUAACGGCCAAAAAGUUGUAGGCUAUUUAACAGGUCCCUGACAUAUGUUUUGUCAAAGCCUCGACCCUUUUCUAAAAGUGUUUAUCAUUGAUAUAAUUAAAAUUGUUACGUGAUAUUUCACUUAUGUGUAUCAAAUUAACACAGAGAGUGAUUAUGCAUAUAUACUAGUGAAGUUUAUGUGUUUAUUGAUAGUACAAUUUCUUCUCUCUGGGAGGACUUAUUAUGGCAUAAUUGAAAUAGAAAUUUAGCAGAACUAUGAUGUUCUAGCAUCGCUGAUUAUCACCAGGUGCUACACCAAAUUUACUACAAUAUGAGUUGUAAAGACUAACACGCGAGUUGACAGCAGCCGGUCUUUUACCGUCGCACUCAAUGCUGUUGAUGGCACGGAUAGUUGCCCCGAAACCUUGGGUAGUAACAGACUGAACGUUGACCUUCCAGUACCACAAGGCCGUCUUGAAGGACAACACUGCAUCUGAAGCCACGAUGUCUGGAUUGUUUAGCCCAUCGAAGUCAUUACUCUUUCCAGCAUCAAUGUAGUUAUAGUUCCAUGUUAGCUGAAGAGGGCCGCGGCCAAAGUAGUACACAUUUGGGUUGCAAGGGUACUCUGCCGUUGAUUGGCAGUAAUUGUGGUCGCGACCAUCUGUCUCUUCUUUAUGGCAGAAAUCUGCGCUCAAAUUUAGUAAUUAUGUCAGAACAUUUUCGAUAAGCAACGAAACAUUAAAUUAAAAGUUGAAACUAAGGAGCACGAUUGGAUAGCCCAAAUGGUGGGUUUAACCUCUAUUGUCCCCGGAUACCCGGGUUCGAUUCUGGCUCAACUCGAGAAGUAUUAGAACAGAUACUCAUUUGUAAGACAUAUAAGUCUAAAUUAUCAAAAAAAAGGUUAAAACUAAGAAUUAUAGAUUUAGUUGCCAAAAAAUUUAAGUGUAAAGGAUAGAAUUUAUACAUCCGGUCUCAUGGGUAGCAUGGGCAAAAAAAGCUGCAAUCUCGCGCUUAGAAUCAUCAGCAGAACCAGCAGUUCCAAACGAGGAGUAGGAUUGAAGUGCAUUAAGAAACGCUGAUCUGGUAUAAAAGUUCUUCCCGUCGCAAUCUCCUGUGGCUUGACUAAUGAUUCCAUUAAAGAAAUCGUCAGAGACAAUAUCAGCAACGGAAACACCAUUACUACCACCCCCACUUGGUGCAGAAUUAGUGCAGGGACCAGCUUGGCAUCCCUCGCCACAAUAAUCGGAGGUAGUGCCGCAGUAACCGUACUUGCUGCAGCAGAGGCCUGCAGCACAGUUGCAGUUCUGGGCAGAAACUAGUGAGGCGGCAAUGAAGAUAGCGGUUAGGAAAAUGAAAAAGGUUUUCAUUUUGUUGUUUGUAGUAGAGGAUGAUGGAUAAUAAGGUUGUGCAUGGAGGGUUUUAUAGGCCAAGGCCCAAGGCAUUAAGUGGGUUUUGGAAAUUGGAGGCAAGAGUUUUAAUAUUGUGCUAGUAUAAUUUGACUAGGUAAGAGCAACUUCAUCAACUAUUUACCAUUCUUCUCAUAAAUAAUAUUAUUAAAUUAGAUCUUAGUUUUUUAAGAUACAAAAUCAUUUUUACACUCCAAAAACCCUCGUCAGAUUCGGACUUUAUGUUUUUAAUAUACUUCUGUGAGUACUAAUCCGAUCAGCACUUGCACAUUAAUUAUUCAGUACCAAUUUCCAAGGAUAGUACCAGGAGGUAAAGGCCAGUAAAAUGUGAGAAAAGCUAUAGUAUAUUGAUACUUCCUCCGUCUCAAAAUAAAUAUCUUUUUUGAUUUUUAACUAAUUAAAUUGACUAUAUAUUUUUCUAAUUAAUAUAUAGAGAAAAGUUCUAUGGAGACCACGUUUUCAUUGGAGACCUUGAAGACCACUUAUAUUCUGCAAUUAAAACAUUAUCAAAUUUAUUGUUUUGCGAAUUACAUUCGAUAAAUAUGACUAUUUCAUCGAAAAUGUUGAAAAUUAUUUAUGCUAAACAAGAAGAACAUGUAUGUAUUGCAAGAUCAACAAAUGUUCUGCACACUAAACAUGGUUUUGUAAAAUAAUAUGUUUUUUAGUGUUUUAUUUGUCAAAUGUAUAAAAUUUGCAAGAUUGUCAAUAAAAUAAUAAUCUUUGUAGAACAUGAUUCGAAAAAUAAUAUAUUUUGCAAUGUUUUUAUGGAGUAUUUUAGUUGCAGUACAUAAGUGGUCUCCAAGUCUCCAAUGAAAACGUGGUCUCCAUAGAACUUAUCCCUUAAUAUAUAUUAUAUAAUUGAAAGAAGAAAAAAAAUAUUGUUGGAAAGUACAUUUAUUCUUUUUAAAAUGUAGUUUCUUAUUUUGUAAUAUAAUACAUAAAUGUUUUUUAAUAAACAUUCAAAAUUGGUCAAUUUGACUUCUUGAAAAGCGAGUGGGACAUGUAAAUUAAGACGGAGGGAUUAAUGAGGAAGAUAGAUAGACUCCUCACUAUUGAGGAGAGUUAUGAAGCUCCUAAGAAUCUCAGAGCAUCUCCAACGCCAAUAAUAUAAAAUGUGGCUCUUAGUAAGUUAAUAUAAUGGAAAACAUGAGAACUCCAAUCCUACAUUUUAUACUUAACUCUUAAUUCACAUUUUAUAUUUAUUUUAUAUAAAUGAGAGGAAAAAGGUAACUUGAAUAGAGAGAAAAUUGGAAAGAAAUUAAUAUUAUAUUGAGUUAAGAGCUACUAGAUGCUCUUUAAAAGAAAGCAGAGAGAGUAGGCUCUUAAAUUUUUAAAGAGCUCUAAUUUUUGACUUGCUCUUUAAAUUUGGGGUUAAGAGCUGGUUUAAAACGCGUAUUGGAGAUGCUCUUAGGAAUCUGUUGGAGGUAUGUUUUUCUUCAACUUCUUCAAUUUACAGAUAAAGAGCUUGCAUAGAGAGUUUGUUGGAGUUGCUCCGGAUAUUCCUAUUAUAAAUGUUUUAGCAUCGCUGAAACUCAAGUCGCGGUAACAUGUACGUCAUACACACAUAAGAGUGUUUGGCUUAACUUAAAAUAAAUAGUUCUGGACUUCCUUUAACACUUUAAACUGUUUCUAAUGUUACCAAAAUUUGCAGGGUUAAAAGCCAAGCCUAUUUCAUUUCUAUGACAAUGGAGUAAGUGUUUUUAUGUAUGAAUAUUUAUAAGAUCGAAUGGACAAGUAUCGAAAAGAAAAUAAGAGACAAGAACACAAGCAAUUUUGGUGACGCGGAAAACCCCUUGUAAAAGGGUAAAAACCGCGGGUGGAAAUGUACCAGCCAAAUUUCCACUAUAAUGUUUAAGUAUGAGCUUACAAGCAAGAAAAAUACAAGAUACAAGCAUAAAAACUGUAGUCGUCGUCAUCAGAAGAUGUUCCCGUCGGCAGCAGUGCGUACCCGUCGGCAGGAAGACUUGAAGGAGAUGAAGAUGUAGAGCUCAGUUAAUAGAAGAUGAAGAAGCUAUGGUGGGUGUAUUGUAGUUGUCCGAUAUGUAAGAGAUAAGUAUAAUAUAUAUAAUGUGGUUUUAGGGCCUGGGCUUUAGGUUUAUACAUAAGAAAAGUGGAGUUGUGAAGGUGUGUAGAUGAUAAGUAUGCUUGAGUAGAUGUAGAUGACUUGUGUUUAUCUCAUCUUCUUGUGGAAUUUAUAGCUGAUUUUGAGCUUAAACCGUGGGCUAUUUUAUAGGAAGGUGGGUUGCAUAAGUAUAGGAAAGUGAUAAGGUUGUUACCAACCUUAUAUCCUAUUUUUCAGGAGUAGUUAGAAGACAAGUUGAAUGGUUCCGCAGUCGUCCGUCGUGUCAGUGCACUUCCCGUCAUGUCCUGACGCCUGUAAAAUCUAGGUAGAACAAAUGUAAUGUUUGGUAAAAAAAACAGAAGUGCUUAUUUUGAAUUUUUAAAAUCAGAAGCUGGAAGCACUAAUCAUUUUGGGACAUUUUUAGUGAUUUGCAUUUUAUUGUGAAGUUUUUAAAUUUUUGAUAUGUAAUAAAUUUUAUUUAUUAAUAAAAUUUCUAUCAUUUUGAUAAUUUGAUUUUUUUUUUAAUUUAUAAAUCUAAAUUACCAAACACUGAAAUUACCCGAAUUUUUGAAAUGAUUUAUACGUCAAGUUCACUUAUCAUUUGUAUCCAUUUUUUAUUUUAAAUAAUAAAUCAUAUUUUUUCAACUUUUCUACUUUAAAUAAUAAAUAAUUUCUUUUGAGUUACAGCCGCGUAGACUUUGACUCGGUGGACUGGACCUGCCCCUACCGGUCUACCAUAUUCCGUCGAUAUUACGGAGUAGAAAAGCACAAUUUCUAAUCCUAUAUACUCUAGUCCAAUAUAAUAUACCUGUGAGAUUAUUUUGUUAAAUCAUAAAAAGUCUCGGUCGCAAUCGUGUAUUGAAGGGAGAUAAUAAUAUUCUUCUAGGAAAUCUCAGUAUAAAAUAUCAAUCUCAAUUUCGCAGAAGGUAUAUAUUUAGUUAUAUAUAUAUAUAUNNNNNNNNNNNNNNNNNNNNNNNNNNNNNNNNACACACACACACACACACACACACACACACACACACACACACACACACACACACACUAUAUAUAUAUAUAUAUAUAUAUAUAUAUAUAUAUGAGUAAGGUUUGAGGGAGAACCUCACUAUCAAGAGAAUCGAGAGAACUCUCAUUAGAGCCAUUGAUUUUUGGAUAACAUUUAUAUACUGCCUUUUAUUAUUUCAAUUAGAAUAUAUUAAAAAAUCUAUUGAUCAAGGGCAUUUUGGAACACAACAAAAAUGUUAUUAUUACGAAAUCUUUUAAAUAUGGCAUCUUGCAUCUUUUUAUCUGCCAAUCAAAUAAUACCAUUUAUAGAUUAUUACAGAAUCCGGAAUCCAAAUCUUAUAUUUCUAACAUAUAUUCUAUUUUUGGCAUUUCUCACAACUCAAUAUAUCAAUAAAAACGUAAGUUAAUACACAUUUCUCAUAUAUAUAUUAUAUAUGAUCGAUUAACAAAACACUUAAUAACAUUUUUAGUAGAAUCUUAAAGUAUUUAUUAUAAACUUAAUCAUAUAAUAAAAAACUUAUAUUAAAUUUUAUAUUGUUAAUAGAACCUUUAUUACAAUAUCAAUAAAAUUAUCAAAAAAUCUUUGAUACACAUAAAUUAUAUUAAAAAAUUUUCAUUAUAUAGAAAUUUUAAUGCAUCAAUUUGUAGAAUCUUCAGUAACAUGUCACUUAGAAUAGUAGAAUCUUCAUUAUCAUUAACAUUUUUAAAAAUAUAUUUAUAAAUUAAAAUCUUAAAAAAUAAUUAAUAUUAAAAUAGUAGAGUUAUCAGUGAAACACUUAAUAGAAUCUCAAUACUUUUGGAACACAACAAAAAUGUUAUUAUUUCGAAAUCUUUUAAAUAUGGCAUCUUGCAUCUUUUUAUCUGCCAAUCAAAUAUUACCAUUUAUAGAUUAUUACAGAAUCUGGAAUCCAAAUUCAUUAAUGUAUCUCUAAAUGAUUUUAAUUUAAAUAAAAUUUUGAAUAGAUCACAUAACAAAAUUAUAUAAUAUAUAUGAUCAAAUAACGACUCAUCUAAUAAUUUUUUUAGUAGAAUCUUAAUGUACCUUUUAAAAUACAUUUAAUCACAUAAUUAAAAAAAUGAUAUUGAUUCNUAGAAUAUCAAUAAAAUUUUUAGAAUCUUAAUUUAUUAGAAUCUAAUCCACAAUAAAAAUAUAUCAUAAAUCUUGAUUAUCAAUAUAAAAACUUUAAUACAUCAAUAAGUAGAAUCUUCAUUAAUGUAUCUCUAAAUGAUUUUAAUUUAAAUAAAAUUUUGAAAAGAUCACAUAACAAAAUUAUAUAAUAUAUAUGAUCAAAUAACGACUCAUCUAAUAAUUUUUUUAGUAGAAUCUUAAUGUACCUUUUAAAAUACAUUUAAUCACAUAAUUAAAAAAAUGAUAUUGAUUCCUGUAUUGUUAAUGGAACCUUUAUUAUAAUUUUAAUAUUGUUAUUAAAGAAUAAGUAUAUAGUGCAUCAAUUAGUAGAAUCGUAUAUAGUAAAUUUAAUACAUCAAUUAGUUGAAUCGUAAGUAAUGUAUCAUUAAAUCUAAUUUUAUUAAAUUAAAAUUUAAUUUAAAAAACACAUAAAAAAUCAUAUUAUAUAUAGAUAUACAUAAUAUAUUAUAUAUAACUAGCUAAAUGAAACACCUAAUGAAAUAUAUUUUAUUAUGGAUAAAAUGCUUAUAAGAAUCUUUGUAAAAGAAUAAAUAAUGUAAAGAUUUUACAAAACAUCUCCGAAUAUUGUUUUACAAAAUCUUCUAAUAUUUUAAAUGUUGUACGAAAUUUGGAAAUAGUAAUGAAGAUAUUUUACUAAGAUUCCGUUAAGUGUUUUUUCAUAUUUUAAUUAAAAGAGGAAUAUGAAAAAUAUGGAGCAUUAUAUAGAAUUUUCAUAUUUCAAUUGAGAAAAAAUACAGAAGAUAUAGAAGCAUUAAAUCAAUGAUACGAAAGAUAUGUAAGCAUUAAAUAUGAAUCUCAAUAAAUACGGAUAAAAAACUUAAAAGAAUCUUAGUAAAAUAAUAAAUAAUGAAAAUAUAUUACAAAAUAUCUCCAAAUUUUUUUUACAAAGUCUCCUAAUAUUUUAAAUCUUUUACGGAAUCUAGAAAUAGUAAGUAAUGGAAAUAUUUUACCAAUGGAUAUUUUACUAAGAUUCCAAUAAGUAUUUUUCCAUAUUUCAUUUAAGAGAAGAAUAUGAAAAAUAUAGAGCAAUAUAUAUAACUUCCAUAUUUCAAUUGAAAAAAAAUAAAGAAGAUAUAGAAGCAUUAAAUCAAAGAUAUGGAAAAUAUGAAAGCAUUAAAUAAGAAUCUGAAUAAAUAUGGUAAUAAAUUGUGAUUUAUUUCUUGUUUUUGAUGCUAUAGAAAUACCUUGAGUCUCACUAGAUUUGAUUGAUAUUAUAAAGAUAUUAUUUUUGAAUAGUAUUAAAUUAAGAUUUGUAAUCAACGGUGGAUGAAGGAGUUUUCUGGUUCUCUCGAUUAUUUGGGUUCUCUCAGGAUCCUACCCCUAUAUUAUAUAUAUUUUAUAUACUUCAUGAAUAGGACAAAAUUACUUAUAAAUUUUCUAUUGAAAAAAUACAACUCUUUUUUAAAUAAUAACCUCUGAAAUGAUAUAUUUAUCUAAUCUUAAGAAUUUAAUAGUUUUAUUGUAGACAUCUCGAUUAAUUAAUAAUUAAUUAACUAGUAAAUCAUGAUCAAUUAAUAUUUGAAUAAAAAAGUUUGUGCUUAGAGAAUAUUAGUGAUAGUACAUAUUGAAUCUCGAUUAACUAAUAAUUGUAAUAAAUUAAUAUUUCCUCCUUCUUUUUUUAGUUGUCAUAUUUGUAAAAAAAAUUGUCUGUCAGAUUUUCUUUACUUGUAUUUGAAUAUCGAUUGCAUCUUCACUUUUGACGAUCUUAUACUUAUCAUUAGAAUAUAUUCUUUCACUAUAAAGCUGUAAAUAAUAAAUAUUUUUGUAGAACAAUGAUGUUUUAGAGAAGAAAUGAUGUGUACACAAAAAAUGAUCUUAAAAAAGAAGAAACAAAGGCGAUAUAAAAAUAAGAUGAGAUUUAUCAUUAUAAGGGAGAACGUUUAAGUUAUUCUCUUUUUUUUUUUUGUCAUAAGACUUUCACGUCAGUGAAUUGUACUGAAAUACAAUACCGAAAGAAUCAGAAGAGCUUUUUUCAUACAUAAAAACUUUCAUCUAACCAAAGAGCAUGUCAAAAACCCCACAAAAAUUAGAUAAAAAUUUAUGAUGCCUGAAAAAAAACACUCGAAAGAAAACAAAAUCUGCGGAACUAAGAAAGGAGAGCUUUCAAUCAAUAAAGUCUAUCGACUAACCGAAUGUCAUGCAGAGAUGGCCCCGGAAGUUUAGCCAAUAAAACUUUAAAGACUGAGAAAAAAACCCAGAUGAAGGACAAAAAUCCGCGGAAAGGAAGAAAGUAAGGUGGAGAGGAAAAAAAGAGGAAGAAAGAAAGAAACAAGCAUAAAAGAUUAUGCUAGGCACCAAAACAAAAUCAUCUAAAAUGACACAGUCAUUAAAAUAACGACAACCAAAAUCGCAAUAUACGAUCAUGAAGCCAUCAAUCAUGGCACUCCCUCAAAAGAAACACAAAAAUUCAAACUAAAGAUACAUGUCCAAAACACAAUUUACGAUAUAAAGUCUAUAAAUCUAGUAAUAAACGAGACACAAAAUUCAAUUACGAAAAAAUAACCGAUAACAGAAGACAUAAGACAAAUACAUUAAAAAACAAUAAGAAUAAAGAUUUUGAACUCAUACCAUUAUCGUGGGGUCAAUUCACACGAUCCUUACCUUACCGAAUAUAAAUAUAUGUAGAUACCAGAAAUGGCUAAAACUGAAUCGCAGUCGCUAACUCGUCAUUGACUCAUCCCAAUUGAUUCAUCACCAGAUCAAAAUCUUGCAAAACGAGUAGAUCUAAUAUCCAAGUACAGAUCCGUUGAGGAAUAUUAUUGAGAAAAUAAGAAUAAAUCAAGAGAAAUUAAUUGAUUCGGAGUUUUUCAUCAGUGAAAAUCGAUGGAACUCCGACGAUGGCUAGAAGAGAAGUGAGGGUUUUCUUUCUUUCUUGGUUACUUGAUAAUUCUUUGUAUCGGCAACGUUUAAGUUAUUCUAGUUGUAUGAACAUGUGAUAAUAAAAAAAUAAAUAAGGGUAGUUGUGGUAAAAAAAAAUUGCUAAAUUAAAAUUUUAUAAAAAGAAAAAGAUACUAGGUCAUACGCCGUGAUAAGAAAUUAACAAGGACCAAAGGUAAAUAAAACAGAGCUUCCACUAAUUAAGAUUACAGAUGAGUAAUUCACUAUAAAUCAAACUAUGACUUAACACAAGAGCAGAAUAGUAUUAGGAUCAGCUUGGGGAUGUCUUCUAAAUUCUUUACAGGUGUGUAAAGCUUUUCUCUAACUUUACUUCGAAUUUGAGAAAUAAGAGCAGCAUUGUUGAAUAUUCAAUUAUUUCUCUCUUUCCAUAUAGCAAAGAACACAGCUGUGAUGAAUAAAUAAGCAAUGCAUUUUUCAAACCGCGGACAAUCAUUGAGAAAAAUUCGGCCAUUAAUGAAGUCACUCCAUCUAGUGCACACUUGAAUAGGACAAGCAGAGAGGACAGUAUUGGAAUAAGGACAAUCACUAAAAAUAUGAGGGUGAAACUCAGCCGCAUUCGCGCAUAAAACACAAACAGGAUCAGUACUCGUGCCAAGCGAAGCAUGCGGUCUUUAGUCAAAAGUCUUUGUUGGAGAAUAAGCCACGCCAUAACCGCAAACUUAGGGACGGAGAAAGCAUUCCAGAGGGGGGGGGGAUUUAUUCGUAGCAAUGUCAUUAUAAAUGACAGAGAUAGAAACCUUUGGAUGCCGCUCUCGGAGCCUUCUAGCAGAAGAGUAGUUACUAGUGCCAAUAUUCCACUGGCCAUUCUCAUGAUAAAAUUCACAAGGUCAAGAGUUGAAGAUACAAGCGGAGAUUUUAGACCACUAUCGAACUGCUCAAAUAAAGGUUUCUUGUUGCACCACGGAUCAUGCCAAAGCGAGAAAUUCGAGUGCCUCCAACCCUUAUAUGUAAUUUUUUGGAGAGCAAGAGUGCGGAGAGAUAGAAUUUUCUUCCAGCCCCAAGCACAUUUUCUAGGAAGAGAAGCAGUCCAGAAGUUCUUAUGCUUGAGUUCAUAGGAGUAGUCCAGAAGUUCUUAUGCUUGAGUUCAUAGGAGUAUAUCCACUGGACCCAAAUAGAAUCAACCUUAGUUAUGACGCGCCAUCACUUGAAUUUUAAAAAAAAAAACAGAAGCUCUUGAAACAUCCUUUAAAACAAAACAUGGGGAGUAUUUGAAUUAUUGACUGAUCCUAAAAUUAGCCCAUGUCAGCUUGUUCCUAUCAAUAGGGGUGGCAUUUAGGGUGAUAAAUCGAGUUAUGUGUCGGGUUGUCUUACCCGUUUCAUUUUUUGAGUCAACCCGAACCCGACCCGAAUUUGAAAUGGGUUGAAAAUUUCAACCCGAACCCGACCGUUCAGUACCCGAUCAACCCGAAAAUGAUCCGUUCUAACUCAAAAUUUAUUAAAAAAUAAUUAUUUUAAUUUUACUAAUUAUAUUUAUUUUAAUAUAUUAAAAAAAUAUAAAUAAUAAUUUAAUGAGAUUAUAUGUGAAUAAAAAUAUUUAUAAUAAUAUAUAAAUAUAUCAUAAAUAUAUUUAAUUUUGUAAUAUAAAUAUAUAAUUAAUAUAAUAUAUUCUAUAUAUAAAUAUUUUGGGUCGGUUUCAGGUACACUGAGUCAACCCGAACCCGACCCAAGUUUUUCGGGUAAAAAAUUAUUGACCCUAAUUCGUAUUUUUACGAGUCGAGUUCGUGUCGGAUUUCGGGUCAUGUUUUAUUUUGUCACCCCUAGUUCCUAACAUUCCCAUAUGGGAAAGGGUGGAUUACAUCCGACAUCGCCCUAAGUAGGGCUGAGCAAAAAACCGAUUUGAAACCGAAACUGAACCGAAACCGGGAAAAAUCGGAGAAAACCGAUCCGAAUAUAACCGAUCCGAAACCGAACCGAAAAAUUAAAAACCGAACCGAUUUAAAUGGUUGGGUUCCGGUUAUACCUCGUCACCGAACCGAUAUAAACCGAACCGAACCGAUUAUUAAAAUAAUAAUUAAAUAAUAAAUCUUAUAUAUAUAAUAGAUAAGAACAUAUAAAUUAUGGACUAUUGGUAGUCUACUCUUUUUUAGCCCUGCAUUUCUUAAAAUUGAUUAGCAAGCAGCAUUCCUUCCUUUCAGUAAGUAAGCAGAGAAUAAAAGUGAAACUGUUACAUUGAUUGCAAGUUUGAAAUUUACUUUACAUAUGAAAUGCAUGAAAGCUUUGUGGUUGAAACUUGAACUAUUGCUGUUACUAGCUUACUGCCCCUGGUUACUGCUGUUCCAAAUUACAGUAUACUUAAAUUUUCUGCUUCAUUUCAGUGAAGUUCUGAAUACGUUAAAUAAUUAUUUUUUCUGGAUUACGCGUUUAAAAUUGUCUUCGUAUUAUUUCUCAAUUUAUAGUUGUCGGUUUUAUAACCGAAACCGAGCCGAUUAUAACCGAACCGGACUUUUUAAACCGAAACCGAAUCCGAAUCCGAACUGGCGGUUGCAGUUUUCGAUUUUAAAAACCGAUAAUAUAUGGUUGCGGUUCCGGUUUUAGCCGGAAACCGAGCCGAAAAAGUCACUUGAACACUUUAUUCAUGAUUGGAAAAAGUCGAUUUUCAAAUUCAGAUGGAAGGGCGAAAACCGGGGCUUGUAUUUUAGCGACCAUUUCUCACAUAUAAUUCUGUAAUUUUACCAACUAAAAAUUUGUAAUCAACAAACCUUCUCCUGCAAAUUUCGAUUUUGACUGUGACGAAAAGGAAUUACCUGGACACCUUCUUGUUUAUCAUGUGUAUUAGUUGUAAAAGUAAGGAUUUGAUGUGUUUAUUGAUAGUGCAAUUUCUUCUCUCUGGGAGGACUUAUUAUGGCAUAAAUGAAAUUGAAAUAUAGUAGAACUAUGAUGUUCUAGCAUCCCUGAUUAUCACCAGGUGCUACACCAAAUUUACUGCAAUAUGAAUUGUAAAGACUGACACGCGAGUUGACAGCAUCCGGGCUUCCACCGUUGCACUCAAUGCUGUUGAUGGCACGGAUGGUUGCCCCGAAACCUUGGCUAGUAACAGACUGAACUUUGACCUUCCAGUACCACAAGGCCGUCUUGAAGGACACCACUGCAUCUGAAGCCACGAUGUCCGGAUUGUUUAGCCCAUCAAAAUCAUUACUGNUUCCUAACAUUCCCAUAUGGGAAAGGGUGGAUUACAUCCGACAUCGCCCUAAGUAGGGCUGAGCAAAAAACCGAUUUGAAACCGAAACUGAACCGAAACCGGGAAAAAUCGGAGAAAACCGAUCCGAAUAUAACCGAUCCGAAACCGAACCGAAAAAUUAAAAACCGAACCGAUUUAAAUGGUUGGGUUCCGGUUAUACCUCGUCACCGAACCGAUAUAAACCGAACCGAACCGAUUAUUAAAAUAAUAAUUAAAUAAUAAAUCUUAUAUAUAUAAUAGAUAAGAACAUAUAAAUUAUGGACUAUUGGUAGUCUACUCUUUUUUAGCCCUGCAUUUCUUAAAAUUGAUUAGCAUGCAGCAUUCCUUCCUUUCAGUAAGUAAGCAGAGAAUAAAAGUGAAACUGUUACAUUGAUUCCAAGUUUGAAAUUUACUUUACAUAUGAAAUGCAUGAAAGCUUUGUGGUUGAAACUUGAACUAUUGCUGUUACUAGCUUACUGCCCCUGGUUACUGCUGUUCCAAAUUACAGUAUACUUAAAUUUUCUGCUUCAUUUCAGUGAAGUUCUGAAUACGUUAAAUAAUUAUUUUUUCUGGAUUACGCGUUUAAAAUUGUCUUCGUAUUAUUUCUCAAUUUAUAGUUGUCGGUUUUAUAACCGAAACCGAGCCGAUUAUAACCGAACCGGACUUUUUAAACCGAAACCGAAUCCGAAUCCGAACUGGCGGUUGCAGUUUUCGAUUUUAAAAACCGAUAAUAUAUGGUUGCGGUUCCGGUUUUAGCCGGAAACCGAGCCGAAAAAGUCACUUGAACACUUUAUUCAUGAUUGGAAAAAGUCGAUUUUCAAAUUCAGAUGGAAGGGCGAAAACCGGGGCUUGUAUUUUAGCGACCAUUUCUCACAUAUAAUUCUGUAAUUUUACCAACUAAAAAUUUGUAAUCAACAAACCUUCUCCUGCAAAUUUCGAUUUUGACUGUGACGAAAAGGAAUUACCUGGACACCUUCUUGUUUAUCAUGUGUAUUAGUUGUAAAAGUAAGGAUUUGAUGUGUUUAUUGAUAGUGCAAUUUCUUCUCUCUGGGAGGACUUAUUAUGGCAUAAAUGAAAUUGAAAUAUAGUAGAACUAUGAUGUUCUAGCAUCCCUGAUUAUCACCAGGUGCUACACCAAAUUUACUGCAAUAUGAAUUGUAAAGACUGACACGCGAGUUGACAGCAUCCGGGCUUCCACCGUUGCACUCAAUGCUGUUGAUGGCACGGAUGGUUGCCCCGAAACCUUGGCUAGUAACAGACUGAACUUUGACCUUCCAGUACCACAAGGCCGUCUUGAAGGACACCACUGCAUCUGAAGCCACGAUGUCCGGAUUGUUUAGCCCAUCAAAAUCAUUACUGUUUCCGGCAUCAAUGUAGUUAU
rnacentral:lncRNA from 1 species